rnacentral:rRNA from 1 species
CGGGUGCGUAACACGUGAGCAACCUGCCUUUGGUGGUGGGGGAGUAGCCGGGCUAACGCCCGGGUAAUACCGCAUACGGUCGCUGAGGGGAGUCCCUUGGCGAAGAAACCUCCGGGGCACGAAGAGGGGCUCGCGGCCUAUCAGCUAGUUGGCGGGGUAAUGGCCCACCAAGACGAUGAUCGGUAUCCGGCCUGAGAGGGCGCACGGACACACUGGAACUGAAACACGGUCCAG